rnacentral:rRNA from 1 species
ACGGAAGGCAGCAGUGGGGAAUAUUGCACAAUGGGGGAAACCCUGAUGCAGCGACGCCGCGUGAGUGAUGAAGUAUUUCGGUAUGUAAAGCUCUAUCAGCAGGGAAGAAAAUGACGGUACCUGACUAAGAAGCACCGGCUAAAUACGUGCCAGCAGCCGCGGUAAUACGUAUGGUGCAAGCGUUAUCCGGAUUUACUGGGUGUAAAGGGAGCGUAGGCGGUACGGCAAGUCAGAUGUGAAAGCCCGGGGCUCAACCCCGGGACUGCAUUUGAAACUGUCGAACUAGAGUAUCGGAGAGGUGAGUGGAAUUCCAAGUGUAGCGGUGAAAUGCGUAGAUAUUUGGAAGAACACCGGUGGCGAAGGCGGCUCACUGGACGAUAACUGACGCUGAGGCUCGAAAGCGUGGGGAGCAAACAGGAUUAGAUACCCUGGUA